rnacentral:tRNA from 1 species
GUCAGUUUGUCCGAGUGGUUAAGGAGAAAGACUUGAAAUCUUUUGGGCUUUGCCCGCACAGGUUCGAAUCCUGUAGCUGACG